AUUGAACGCUGGCGGCAGGCCUAACACAUGCAAGUCGAGCGGAUGAAGGGAGCUUGCUCCUGGAUUCAGCGGCGGACGGGUGAGUAAUGCCUAGGAAUCUGCCUGGUAGUGGGGGAUAACGUCCGGAAACGGGCGCUAAUACCGCAUACGUCCUGAGGGAGAAAGUGUGGGAUCUUCGGACCUCACGCUAUCAGAUGAGCCUAGGUCGGAUUAGCUAGUUGGUGGGGUAAAGGCCUACCAAGGCGACGAUCCGUAACUGGUCUGAGAGGACGAUCAGUCACACUGGAACUGAGACACGGUCCAGACUCCUACGGGAGGCAGCAGUGGGGAAUAUUGGACAAUGGGCGAAAGCCUGAUCCAGCCAUGCCGCGUGUGUGAAGAAGGUCUUCGGAUUGUAAAGCACUUUAAGUUGGGAGGAAGGGCAGUAAGUUAAUACCUUGCUGUUUUGACGUUACCAACAGAAUAAGCACCGGCUAACUUCGUG
rnacentral:rRNA from 1 species